rnacentral:rRNA from 1 species
CAGUCGCCACGGUAAUACAGAGGGUGCAAGCGUUAAUCGGAAUUACUGGGCGUAAAGCGUGCGCAGGCGGUUCGUUAAGACAGAUGUGAAAUCCCCGGGCUUAACCUGGGAACUGCAUUUGUGACUGGCGAGCUAGAGUAUGGCAGAGGGGGGUAGAAUUCCACGUGUAGCAGUGAAAUGCGUAGAGAUGUGGAGGAAUACCGAUGGCGAAGGCAGCCCCCUGGGCCAAUACUGACGCUCAUGCACGAAAGCGUGGGGAGCAAACAGGAUUAGAGACCCCUGUAGUCCCUGUCUCUUAUAC